rnacentral:lncRNA from 1 species
UACUGUAUACAAAUGAUGAGACAACAAUCAUCAAAAAGCAUAAGGGCUAAGGAAGUGGAGAAUCUACAAAGCCAUUCCCGUAUCAUUUUAUGCUCAAUUUUUAACUAUAUUGUUGGUAUUAUUGCUAGCAUCAACAAAAUUUAGGAAGGUCUACAGGCAGCUGAAGCAUGCUAAAGGCUUAGCCUAUAGAGAUCCAUUGCAAGCCCAAUCAAGGCAAAGGAUGAAUGAAUAAGUAUGAGACAAGCUCCGGCAUGUUUAAGUUCAGUCAACUUUAUAAAUUAUGUAAUUGAUAAUAAUUAGGAAUGAGCUGGCAUCAACUACCAUAUGAAAGGAUGUAGAGAUUGCAAGAGGUUAAAAGAAAAGAAAACCAGCUGCUACAAGUAAAGAUUCUUCGUAGGAAAGAAAGUACAGGACUGAGGCUUGGAUAUCUAAAAGAAGGGUGCUGCACAAUGCAGAAGACAGAUUUAUGCAGGUUUUGUAGGAAAAUCAACUAUCAGAUUGAUAGGCCCUUUCCUCUUUUCUCAUCCAUUGUCUCUUCAACUUUCUUCUUUCUUCUUUCUUAUACUCUUAUCUUUCACCAAUUUUUUCGAAAUCCUUGGUUUCCUCGGAUCAAGCAAUUAUAUACUAUCCCCAACAAUGCCAUUUUCUGAUGGAAAUCAAAUUGAACUACAUUAAGAAAUGUUCCCAUCUGAUAAAACACACUCUUUGACACUGUCCGGUGGCUUCUCCAAGGACCAUUAAGUAACAUAACUUUCUAAUCUUAUUCUCCAUUUUUUGUAUUCCAACUUGCCUGAAGGCAUUAAUAUCAUAUCAAAAUAUUUCCUGAAGUCAGGUUCUUCAAGCUGGAAGUACUGACUGGGAAAGCAAAGAUCAUUAAGUUGGAUCUUCUUGGACAAACUUCAGCCCAGACUUUUCUAAAAUUGUAAUGUUAUUUUCCAACCUUGACUGGAUAUAUUUUGGCCCAAAGAGAACAUGAAAACCAUGGCACCAGGUUCACAUAGUGCUUAUAGCUAGAGACUAAAUGGUAAGCCAUCAGUGAAAUUUAGAAAUAAUCCUAGAGCAUAGGUACUUUGAUUCUUGAGGGACACAUUUAUUGGAUAAGUUCAUCGUCGAAAUACACUGACUAACAACAAUUAUGUGCAAACAUAGUUAUGUACGAUUGCAUUAAUGAAGAACAAAAUACCAAUGAAGAUAAGACAUCAGGGGAUUCUUAUGCUACAUGCAAAUAAAGAACACAUAGCAAGGUCUCUAAGGAGACAUACUAAUGUUAGUGCAUUGUGUUUGCAGUCAAAAGGUCUCAGGGGUUUAAGUCCCAUUGUUUGCAUCUAGCGUGCAACACUCUGUAAUGCUUAUAUAGCUAAAGGCAAGAACAUAUAGUAAGGCAUAUAAUAGAAUGCCAAACUCAUGGAAGGGAGAACUCAAGAAAGGGAAAUAUAAAGCAAUGAUUCUGAUGACAGUUCUCUGCGCUAAAAACCUUUCAUCAAGUUACCUAUGCAUUUAGGAUUCAUUAGCAACCAAAAUCAUGACUACUUCAUCUCAGGUUUCUGAUAGAUUAGGUGCUCCCAAAACAAUCACUCCAGAUCUUUAUACUACCAACAAACGAAGUAAUAUGAAGGCAACAUAACAGCAAAAAUUUCUAAAGGGAAGAAUAAGAGGCAAAGGAACAGAACAAAAAAAAGGUGGGCAGAACUCAAAACCUGUAUUAUUUUAUAGAAACAUAUAAAAUAUCUUUCUAAUAUGGUGUUAAGUAUCAGGUUUAAAGCAUUAAUAUAGUCUCAUCACUCUGAACCACUUUAUGAGGGAUAUGUCCUCUCAAAGCACACAUUAGCAAAGGCCAUAUACUCUGAACUAAAGAAGUUAUCAACAAGCAGCCAUUUGUUAUCACACCCCAGUAUGAAGUUCAAAAUCUGGGUUGCAAGAAAGGAAACUAUUUAAAGAAACAGGCAAACGACAUCAUCCUCAUACAAUAAGAAAUGAAAACCACAGUAGGUUUAGUCCCAUUUCCAGAAUGCAGUUGUGCAAAUAUGUGAUUCUUCCUAAUCAGAGUAUAAAAGCAAUACUAUCUGCCAAUAAGACUGUGGAAUCAGAAGACAAACAAUCAUCAUGUAUAACUAAAGCAAUAAUAAUAAUAAUAAUAAUAAUAAUAGACAGACAAGAAAUAAAAAGUUAAAAUAAAAAGGAAUUUAUACCAAUCAAAAUUCAUUGUGCAUCACAAUUCACAUCUUCCGCUUCUACCUGUGAAUCUGUCACACUCUUAACUGUCGUUUGCACACCAAGACCGUCUUUGUUCUCAUUACCAUCAUCAAAUCCAUGACCUCGAUCAUAACUUCUGUAGUCUCUACUGAAAUAGGGAGGAUAUGUAUGGAAAUCUACCAUUCUUUUUGAAAUAUUCCAUGUGUUCCUAGGACUAUGAAGAAGGCACCCAUGUCCAAUCCCAUACAAACCACCGUUAUUAUAUCCUCCUCCAUAUAGUCCACCAUAAAGAUAAGGAGAAAAAGGUGUUGUUACAUAAUUAGGAUAUCCAUAAUAUGGAUGCAUAUAACCUUGAUAGGUGCCAUAAACAGGCCAUCUUUCACAUUGUCCACCAAAAGCACUUACAUUGUAAUAAUUCUCACUAUUUCUAUUAUUUGUACAAUCACUGUAAUCCUUGGGGACUGCAAUCUUAACCUCUACAAGUUUCCCAUUCAACUUAUGGUGUCUAUUCUUUAGUACUGCCGCCACAGGCUCCUCUGAAGAAAAUGUGAUGAAGCCAAAACCUCUUGGACGUUGAGUGGCACUGUCAUACAUGACAACUGUAUCAACGACAGAACCAAACUUCUCAAAAUAACUCUUAAGCUCCUGGUGUGUGACAUCGCCUGCUAAACCUCCUAUGAAAAUCUUUUUCGAAUUUAUGUGGCUGCCAUUUUGCUUGCCACUAUUACCAGUGAUCCUACUUGAACCACUGGAUCCUCCAUCCUGAUGUGCAUUCCGGGAUUGUUGGUUUUGGCGUUGCUCACCUCUCGGUAUGGCUCUUUUCACUUCAACCUGAGAAAUAUCACAGAAAAUAACUACAAAUUAACAACUGAGACCCACAGGAACCGAGGGGGCCACCAACAAGAAAAAAUAAAAAUUAUUACUCCUAAUAUUACUUUUCCUAGAAGAAAAAACAAAUGAACAGGCCAAAUUGUUAAUUGUUGAGAUGAAGCGAGGAAAUAGAAACAGAACAUAUAUGUGAAAACACCUUGGUUAAAUAGAAAACAGUGAACACUUUACUUUGAUGGAAUCAGUAACAAAGAAACAAGACAAGCUCUCUCUCUCUCUCUCUCUUCUCUUCUCUUCGAAGAGCAAAAGGUACAACAGACAUGAGAAGGAACAAACGUCGAUUAACUUGCUAAAUAUAAAGCCUAAGGAUCAUUUUUUAAGACCUGGGACAACAAAAUAUAGAAAGCAUAGGAAACUUCCCCCAAUUCAAAUCUCACAGUAAAAAUGUAAAAAAGGAAUGAAACAGGCACACGUUGAAGUAAAUUUUAGUUCGUUUCGUGUCCACUUCUUGAAGUACUAUGCAAAGUAAAGAACUGAGAAAAGAAAACGAUGGAGCACUAACUGUUCUUCCAUGAAUGACAUGCUUCGCUUCCUUGAGCGCGCGCUCGGGGCCCUCCAAAUUCGCGAACUGCACGAAGCCGAAGCCUCUCCCGCUCCCGGUGACCCGGUUCCUCAACACCACCACCUCCUUCACCUCGCCGUACCUCUCGAAGUGCUCCGCCAGCGUCUCCUCCCUCGUGUCCGACGAGAUGCCACCGACAAACAGCCUCCCCCCGUCCCAUGCCGACGCCGCCAAGGACGUCCCAGAGGUUAGUGUCGACGACGACAGCGACUCCAUCUCCUCUCCUCCGCCUGUGCUAGCUCGCUUGCUCUCUGUUGUUUUUAGGGUUCUUUGGAACCCUAACGAGGAGGUUUGAAUUAAGCGACGGAUAUAUUAUCUUGUUGAAAAGGGUACACUAACUUGAAACGGACGGUGGAUGGAUUAUAAGUACUCAUCUUGGGAGAUCUGGACCGUUCAUAUCCCUUAAUAGGGUUUAUAUCCCGUAUUCUUCCGUCUCUAUGACAUAAUUACGAGACGUAUUUACCUAUCGAUCCUUUCCAAGUCUCAAAAUAACUUUCUUACCCUUACAUUUUUCCCGUUAUAACGAUAACGGCUGUUAGUGUGGGCCCCGACAAGACCCGUUAUGUUGCCGGGUCGGGCUAACACAGGGUUCGGAUGCCGCUGGUAGAUCCGAAACCCAUCCAAAAGAUCCGAAAGUGUCACGGAGAACACUGGAGGAUUCGGUGGUCGCAUCCACCCGUCAAAGUCUUCCGUUCUCGGUUUACAUUCCUCUCGAUUUCUCAUCGGUUCCAAUCUCUUCCCUCGACUCCCUUCCCAGCUUUUGCCGCUCGAAUCAGGUACUGAUUCGCUCUGCCUUCUUGCGUUCGAUCGAUCUUCUUUUUCGCGUUGAUUUUAUUCGAUAAAAGUUUCGUCUUUGCCCCCUUUCCCUCGUUCGAGAUCGCUUUUUGUUUGUGUGUUGUUGAUUCGAACCUAGAAUGAUUAUUUUGUUUCCUUCUUUUCUUUCGCUGUUUUUAUCCGAUCUAAGAAGACCUUGUUUUCGACCGGUUACAUUCUGAUCUCCGACUCGUUGAUAUUUUGCUAGGGUUUGGUUCGCUUUCCUUUAUAUGUAUAGUUCUUGAUCAUAUCUGCAGCGGUCGCACGCUUGUCCAUUGAGAAUUGUGCGGCCAAUUGGUUUUACAUUUGGGGGUUUUGUUAGGGUUUGGUUUGUAAUUGUUGGUCGUUUGUUUCCCAAAUUCCUCCUGUCAUAUCUGCCUCUACCUCCAUAGGUAUUGAUCUAUGCGAGAAUUUUCUCUUCUCUAGAUUGUUCUUGGCAUAGUUUGUACAACUACGCUGCCUUAAGGCAUCCAUGACCUGAUGUACCACUAAUUGGAUUCAGUUUCCUUUCCUUUUCUGUGUUGGCUAAACUGAUCCUGGAAAUUAAAGGCUAAUUUUUGGGGUUUUGUUUGCUAAAGUAUCUAACUUAUACUGGGUUUGACUCCUUUUUGAUCUUUCCUUUUUCUCUCCUUUUGCAAGUUUUGAUUUUGCCUCUACACCGAUGGCCAGUGGGUUUGGGGAGUCGUCAUCCGGUAGAGCCCCGCAAAGCUCUUCUUUUGGCGGAAGCAGUAGCAACAAUGAUGCUGGUAGCUUUGAAUGCAACAUCUGCUUUGAGCUGGCCCAGGACCCUGUGGUCACCCUCUGUGGUCACCUGUUCUGCUGGCCCUGCCUUUACAAAUGGCUUCAUGGCCAUGCCCAAUCUUCCGAAUGCCCUGUCUGCAAGGCCAUCAUUGAAGAAGAGAAGUUAGUCCCCCUAUAUGGCCGGGGGAAGAAUGCUACGGAUCCACGGUCCAAAUCCACACCUGGUAUGAACAUUCCCAACCGCCCAGCUGGGCAGAGGCCAGCGACGGCACCCCCGCCAGACCCGAACAAUUUUCACCAUGCAAACCCAUGGUUCAUGGGUGGAGCCCCUGUGGCUGGUACUAGGUUCGGGAACUACACAUUUUCUGCUGCUAUCGGUGGCUUGUUCCCACUUUUGAGCUUUCAGGUCCAUGGAUUCCCGGAUGCUACUACUUAUGGUCAUGGUGCCGGCUUCCCCUAUGGGUAUGGCAAUGCAUUUCAUGGUGGGCAUGCUCAUGGAUUCCCACGGCAUGUGCAUCAGGGACAGCAGGUCGAUAUGUAUCUGAAGGCACUAUUACUUCUCAUCGGUGCUCUGGUAAUCGCCAGCCUUGUUUGGUUUUAGAAAGUUUGUAAUAGUCGUCUUGCUGAAUGCUGAUAUUGUUGAAAACCUGAAAGAAUUAUAUUUCACACAAAAAGGGUGUUUGCAUUUGUAGAAAUGCAAUUCAGAAUGUUAGUUGGUGGCUACUUUCGCAUUGAAUUGUUAAUAAAAUGUUGCAUUGAUGCAGUCUGUUGACCGCAAUGCAAUAAUUGGUCAUGUACUGAUGGAUUGACUUCCAUGGGAUAGCAUUCAAAAUAUGUAUCCACUCUAAUGGUCAAGUUUAAUUUUCUUUCCUGCUCUCAUACAUUAGAUAAUUCAUGAGGCAUAAAGUUUUAUGUAGAUCUGACUCGUGGCAAGUCAUUGGAUUUUCUCUAUUAUAUAAGAGUUGUGGAUCUGUAGAGAUCUGAAUGUGAGUUCAGUUUCAGACAAAGAUGAGCUUUCACUGGUUUGUGGUCAGAGCUCUUGAUGUAAUCAAUGGAUUCAUAAGAGUUCAAGAUUGCAUCAAUACCAUGAUCAUGCUCAACCUUGAACAAGAUUCUGUCAGUCCUUGCAGGAACCCUAAUCUGAGAGGAAGACACAAAGAAAACAACCUUGGCAUGUUACUACACUGUGUCUUCUGCUCAAAACAAGCACCAUAAAUCACUCACCUUGCAGCUUGUGUCAUAGUUGUUACUAUCAACAUUAGAUUUGUAUGUGGGCUUGUAGCAACUGAUCUUUGCCAUUGAGCACCUGUGGUAUAUGUUAAACAUGAACCAUGAGAAUGCUAUGAUCUCAGCCACCAUGUUUCCUGCUGGUAUCAAAGCUACAAUUUAACCUGCUUUGAGCUGUUGACAUGGCUGAAGAAGAAAGAGUUGCAGAUCUUAAUUACAGUGGUAGGAAGAUGAGGGUGUAUGCUUACCCUGUGAAGGUUCUUGUGGAUAAGGCUUCUUCCAGGCAUUGUGUCUUUAUCCCCUGUAUUCUGUUGUUGAGGUCUCCCAGCCACCCUGUGACAUGAUAUGGCCCUGCAUGCUGAAGCUGAUCCUUGGAGAGGAGUGAAUGGGAGAUGUGACUGCACUUCGAGUUCCUCUCCUCUACAUUCCUUGCACUCCUUUCACUGCUUCUGUUGCAAUCCUUUGGCAAGGUGAUCCAUGGAAAAUGGAACUCACAACAAUAAAUUUCUCCAAAGAUGGCCAUCAAAAUUUGUCAGAGAUUAAACUUUUAUCAUUACAAGCUUUUCUCUAUUGAGUGUCAACUUCUGUUUUCACAAUGGCAACUGCAACAUCAUAACAAUUGUUUCUCCAGAAAUAGCCAACAAAAGAUGAAAAUAUAUAGUGUCUACUUAGUAUCAUUACAAACUUUUGUCUCAGGAAUGUCAAGUUCAGUGUACUCCACAUAUGGAAUUCUGAAUUCAUGUGUUUGUUCUAUUAGUAAAGAUUUGAUUUCAGUUCUCAUCCAUAAAGAGAGGGAAAGAUGAUAAACCAAUCAGGAUAUUGCACCUCCUUUAUGCACUUCCAGCCAUGCCUUCAACAGAUCAAAACCUGCAAGCUUAAACUCAAUCCUGAGAUGCCAGCAGCAUGAUGCUAACUUUCAAGAAUGAAUGCAUCUUCAAACCAAUGUACUCUCCUUUCACAACUCAUCAUAAACCACUCAGCUAAUACAGGGCAACCUAACUACUCAAUUUCUGUCCAUUUUUAGAUUGUUUCCAUGUUGCUCAAAGUAAGGCCUUAUGAAAGUUCUCCUCCACCAUACCUCAAAGGCUCUCUGCAGAUUAGGGCAGUUACUACCAACCUUCAAGAAGCUCUCCAGCCAUGACAGCAGAACACUUUGCUGGUCUUCUAAAGGAAGUGUCAAAAUAGUUUGGCCUAUUCCUUCCUCAACAACCUUGCGGUCGAAUUGUCUGCAACCAUGUUGUAACCAACUGUAGUCAUCAACCAGUGGCUGCAACCAUACAUGCAAUAGCAGCUGCCGAGUUUCCUUCGAUGGAAGCAUCUCUCCUCUUCCAAUACCAACAAAAAGCCUGGCAGUAAUGCAGCUAACUCGGUGCCUCGACAUGACUGGAAGCUUUGAGUGCAGCUGAGCAAGCUCAUUUUGGCUAGCCCACAUCAAGGCAAAUUCAUCUGCAGUAUGCCUGACAGCCAAAAUCUCGACCAACCAAAGAAGAUUUUCUGCCUCGAGAGCUAUCUUCCUCACCGUAGGAUCCUUGCUUUCGAUACGAGUAGACUUGGAUGCUUGUCUAAAGAGCUCUAUCAACGAGGCUAAGCAGCUUUGGCAUAAACUAUACAAAGUUCCAAUGCAUAUGUCUACGGAUCCAUCAGUCCAGAAACUGUUUUCCUUGAGAAGUUUGAGCACUAAUGAUUUCAUCUCACGUCGACCUCUCUCCUCGUUGCUUCUGAGGACUAGCUCCAUUAUAUGAGCAAGAGUAUCAUUUGGAGGUUUCGAUGUAUCAGAAAAUACUCGCUUUAAUAUAGGACUUAUGCUAUAAUUUUUGCUCUGGAGAUGUUGGACAGAUGACACCACAUUUCCUUCUUCACCAACCCAGGGGACUACCUCCAGGUAAUCCAAGCAUGCCUUAAUGCAUGCAUGGAAUCCAAGCGAUUCAGCAACCUGCAAAUGUGAAUCUUGGUGAUGUCCAUGGUUGCAACCAGCAAAUGAAAACAUAAGGUAAAAAGAUUACAUAUGCACAACAAAGGGGGUGAAAGUAAGAGAGACAUAGAGCUUCUAGUUCAAUAAAUUACUUUUAAGAACAGUUGCACAUGUUUAUUUGUCUUUUUUAUCUUCCUGGAAAUUUGCUCACUUUGCGAAGUUGAAAGAAAACAAAUUCUACAUAACUGAUUACAUGAAAUGCACAAUGAUUACAUGAAAUUCUUAUUGCCAGCCUUGGUUGAUGAAAAUACAAGGCCCAUUUUAUAUGCAUAUUAUAUGACCAUUGCAUCCAGUAUAUUUUGGAAAGUAACAUUAGAACUGGUUUACAUGCAUCCUAGUAGUUCUCCCAGGACUUGAGCUCUCAUAAUUUCAGCUCCAAAGUACAAAAGGUGAUUACACUCAAAAACUAAAAUGCAUUUGCACGUCGCAAUAUCUCUCAAAUGCUUCUAACUUGGUAAUCACAUUCACAUCAUUCAAACAAAAAAUAUAGCUUUGAAAUGGUUCAUUUGGUCGUUAUAGAUUAACAAACAUUCCUUGAACAAAGGACUAUGAUAAUGAGCACUGUCUUACACAUGCAAUAAAACUAUAUAUAAAUCAUUAAUUAAACAUGCUAAUAAAAUUCAAUCACACAGAGAUGUAUGGAAAAAAUUCGACAGGAAACUUAUGUAAGGAAUAUGUAAAUGUAAAGCAGAACUCUGUGAUGUCCGAACAAACCUUUAGAAUGCGGAGCACACGUGAAACACUCUGCUUGAUUACUCUGUGUUUUACUUCACCACAGUACAUUAACCCCACAGUUUCAACAUAAAUUUCCACAUCUUCACAGUCAGAAAUUUCAAAAAAUGGUACCGGAGAUUGCCUAGAGAAUUUAUCUGCAAAGAAGCUACUGUGUUCUGUGAGAAUGGCCUUGUGAACGCUCAUCUCGACGGCAAUUCCCUCUUUCCCAAACAAAAUAAUCUUCAAAUCACUGGUCUCAGGCUGACCAAAGCCCACAGAAAUUUUUUGGUGUUGAUUCCCAACAUUUAAUUUUGAGAGACCCUCAGCUGCCUUUGUUGGACUUUUAGCAGCAGUAUCAGAGGUAAGACAACUAUUAUCCUCGGAACAAACUCUUGAACUUAAUGGAUCAGAAAGUGUUCCUUUGUCUACUGGGGAACUUAUUGGCCUCUGAACUGAAGAUGCCUUUGACGGCAUUGUAGACAGUAUCUUUUUCUUGUUUUGGUGAUUUUGAUUCUUAAUGGUCUUUUGUAGAACUGCGGGGGAUGGGCAACACCAAAACCCUUCAGGAGUUACAGCGACGGGAACAUUUCUGGCUUUCAUCUGACCUUGCCCAAGCUUUCUGACUCUAAAAUCAGUCAUAUUUCUUUCUGUUGCUCGAUAACUUCACAAUGAGAAUUCAUUCAAGAGGGCAUCAUGGAGUCUGAAGACACAAAAUCUAAAUUAUUGUCUAUAAGCAACAGUAUUCAGUUCCUAAGUCGAUGUCAAGAUUGCAUGUACCUGCACACAAUAGAGCUUUUUCAGGAUGAGAAGUUCAAACUUUAGAUGCAAAGUUACAACUCAGUGGCAUUUCAGGAGAGUGAAUGUUCUACAAGAGCCAGUGGAAUUGCAGAGAUGGGUGGACACUUCUACUUGCAACAACAGAGAAAAAACAUCAAUCUAUGUCAGAAAAAUCAAAGCAUCUGUUUUCAGUAAGAAAAAAGAAUCUAGUCUAAGCUAUUUGCAAAGAUGAACUUGAAUAUGUACGAUGAAAGGAAAAGAUUAAAACUUGAACCCGAUUUCUCUAAGAAAGACCAAAAGAUCCAAUCUUUCCUUCAUCUGCUCUUCAUUUUCUGUAAGAAAGAUUCAUACUUGAGAACCUAAAAGGGGUUUCUUCCUCCAGAAAACAAGGAAUCAUCAACUUGCGAAGCAAAACCUUUCGAUCCGAAAACGAAGGACGGUUAGGAAGCAAAGGGAGAAUCCAUCGCACUAACCAUUUCACGUCUCUCAGCUUCUUCCGCCACCCCACCCUUCCUUUUCUCCACAUCGCUUGCUCUGUCUCUGGAAUCCUAAUGAUGGGACCGUGCUCCAAUGUCAAGCAUGGAGGGAACCACAGGUGGGCAAAAUUACAGAGAAAAAUGAUGGGUACCAUCACGCCAUUCCUCUUGGUUCAGAGAAGCAAAAAAAAAGAUAUCAUUUUUAGUUUUACCCACUUCAAAUUCUUCAGGCCACCAUCUCCAAUCUUUCAAGUCUCCCCACCACUCACCCCUCUGUUUUGGAUGGCAAACUAUGUGGUUCCCUGGAGACCUAAAAUGACAAUAGAAAUACACAUACUCGAUGUGUGCACUUUUUCAAUUUCAGGUCCCAACAUGAACAUGAUAAGGACAACACAGAGAGUAUUCAAAAGAUAUCCAAAAACAUCCAUGCAUGGGAGGGCAUGGUAUGUGAUUGCAUUUGCUCAUUUCUUUUCUAGUACUUGGGGAUGCAAGCAGUGUGGGCUAAGAGCCGCAGAACUUUGGUGUUUGGCUCCUGGAUAUUGAAUAGUUUGCAAGAUUUUGGUUGUUUGUGCACUCCACCGACAAGUAACUCAAAAUUUUGAUUCCUCAAUUAUGUUCAUCACAUAGAGAGAGAGAGAGAGAGAGAGAGAGAGAGAGAGAGAGACCUUCCUAUGAUUCUAUGGAGGUGUUCUCACAUGAUAGUUUGGGUAGAAAGAGAAAAUGUGCUCAAUGAAUUUGAUUAUGCAUUUGGCUCAGCUGGUUCUUAAAACAUCAGUUUAAUCUGUUGUUAGCAGUCAUUCAUCUUUUGAUCUAAACUAACUUGUUGACAAAUUGCAUUGACACAUUUCAAGUAAUGUGAUGUUCCUACAGUUACUAGUCUCUGGUUUCACAAGUAUCUCAUUGAAGAUUACUUGUGGUCUAGCAGCUAGCAGCUGCUACUUGAGACUUUUGAUGAAGGUGGCAGAGAAAUAAAAUGCAUGCAGCAUAACAGAGUUGAACAUAAACUUUGACUAAUCUCCUUUAGGUACAAGGAUUAGAUGAGUCAACCCUACAAUCUGACAAGCCAAGCUUUGCUCUGUAAAGUGCAGAAUCCAAGUGAUUAGUGUCAGGAACCCAAAAAGUAAUCAUCCAUCACAGUGCCUUUCGGUGUGUGCAGAAACAGAAAGCACAUGUAAAUUACUAUAUAUAUCUCAACAGAAUCAAAUACGGCAAAGGAUGACUUUCCCUUUUGACUUCCCUUUCCAGGAACACUUUGGUACAGAGCUGCAGCAGUUGAGAUGAUGGCUUCCUGGCCUUCAAGCUAUCAAAUGAUUCUUCUACCCAAGGAAAAGGAAGUAAAAGCUGUAAAGGCAAAAGAGGGAAGAACUUUACAUUUGCACAUGGGUUUAGGCCAUAGUGUUUGACUAGGAAUCAUGGCAUGGAUUGGGGAGGAGACACCACAAUGGAAGUUGGUAGCCAGAUGCAUGAUCAUGUCUUCUCAAGAAAAACGAAAAAGAUUUGCAUAUAAUUAUGGAUAUGGAUCCACAUUUGAGCAUAUAAAAUAUUCAUCUUGUUAUUGAGAUCUAUGCUAUAGAAUAUAUAAUGACAAGCUAUGUUCCAAACCAUUGUUGGCAGAAGUCGUGCAGAUGGAUUUCCAAGUCCUAAACAUUGGUGAAAGAUAAACACAGUUCUCCAAUCAACCAGAGAAGUUUAGGUGUGUGAUCAUUAAGCAUACCAGCGUCCAUGGUGAGUGUCUUGUUUGUGCUGUGCAUGCUUGUAGAUUGCAGAAUGCCUGCAAAGUGCAAAGAUGAUAAGAACUUUGGAUAACAGAUGUUCGUGUAAACAACCUUAAGCCGUGGCCUCGGGGCCGACGCGGCUUUGUUCGGGUCCGGAUGACGGGGAUCUCCCCGGGAUGUUCCUCGAGACUGCUAAGGUGACCGACUGCGGUGGUCUGAUCGGGAUGGGGUCGCCGUUUCCUCUGAGAGAGGGCUCCUCGCCUGGGCAUCUAGUAGGAUGCCUCCGCCUUCGCACCUGCACACAGGUCGGGUCGGAAGAGCUCGACCCGACCCCUUUAACGAUCAAGUCAGUAAAUAGUCGCAGGGGGUUUGUUAUCUAUGUUGGUGUCCUUCUCCUUUUCCCGUUUAGAAUGCGAGGGUAUUUAUAGGGAAGCUUACUGUUUCCUGAUGUGCCCUCUUGUAGGGGGCAGGCUCGUACUCCUGGUAGCGUCUGAUACUAGUGUUGGCGUGACUUGAAGGACCGAGCCUGAGCAGGAUAUUUAAUGUGCCUCGGUCGACGUUCCGAUCCAUUUGAUCAGGUGGUGUCAGGUCAACCGAGACGUUAUCUGGGGCAUCAACCCGAGUCUUAUCGCCAUCAUUAUCCUCGUCAACGAACAUGUUAAGAUGCUUGAUGAAGAAGAAGAAGAAUUCUGAUGGACUGAAAAGGAAGUAUUUAUUUUGUUGUUUUUGUUUUCUCUAAAAUAAUUUGUAUAGAAGCAAACAAAAAUGUUUUCCCUAAAAGUAUGAUAAGGAUUUGCAACAGAUACAUGGGAUACAAACCAAAACAAUAUCAAAUCCUUGUCUCUCGAGGACAGAGCCACGUAUGGUUUUGAGCCAACUAUGGCUAUUCUGGAUCAAUUUGGGACCAGUCUUUGCCUCUUCUUAUCCUCCAAAGGCCACCCCAUCCUCCAUUUCUUCUCAACCAUUCAUGCGUUCCAAUCGCUGUCCUAUCGAAGCACCUGCAGCAGAGAGAGAGAGAAGCAGCUCUCAUCCGAGGAAGCAGAGAUGGAGAACUCUGAGGGGGCUCAAGCCAUUGCAUUCAGUGAGGAGCAAGAGGCCCUUGUGGUGAACUCGUGGAAUGUGAUGAAGCAGCAUGCAGCUGACACUGCCCUAAGCUUCUUCCUGAAGUAUCUCCUUUGUCUCUUACGCCAACGCACUCUCUUGCAGAACCACAUGCAUUGCGGCUGAAACUUCUGUUCUUGAUAGGAUCUUCGAGAUCGCACCUUCGGCAACUCAGCUGUUCUCGUUUCUGCGCGACGCCGAUGUGUCGCUCGAUAAGAACCCAAAGCUCAAAGCUCAUGCCAUGGCAGUCUUCACCAUGGUAUGCAAGUGUAGCUUGACUUUGAUCUGAGCUUGACAAUGCCAAACACUUGUCCAACAAGCUUGGUGUUCCUGACGCUUGGUUGCAGGCAUGUGAAUCAGCAGCUCAGCUGAGGAAAACAGGCAAAGUUGCAGUGAGGGAGACAACCUUGAAGAAGCUGGGAGCUACUCACAUGAACUCCGGCGUCAUCGAUGAACAUUUUGAGGUCAUUUACUCUCACAAAUCACCUGAAAAAGUAACCAAAAGAAAAAACAACAACUGCUAUAUCAGUACAACAGUGCUAAUUCAAGAUCAAGUUUAUUUCAUUCGACGUUGUCAUGUAUGAGCUUUGAUGUAAAAGCUUAUACUAUUCUUCCAACAGCAGAAGCUUGCUUUGAACACAUUUCUUCUCAGUUGGAGUAUGGAGAAAUCUUCGGAGGAUUAGAAGUGAUGAUUUAUAUCAAAUCAUGCAGGUGGUGAAGUUUGCAUUGUUGGAGACCAUAAAGGAUGCAGUCCCAGAGAUGUGGUGCCCUGAAAUGAAGGAUGCUUGGGGACAAGCCUAUGAUCACCUGGCUGCAGCCAUGAAGGAAGAGAUGAAGCUUCUCAGUGCUUCAGUGUAGAUUUGUGUUUCCUCAUCUUGAUAUCAAAUGCUGUGUCAAUCUGCAAUGGUUGGCUGUUUCUUAUUUUUUUCCUUCUGCUGGCUUGAUUGCAUCCUCAUAUGGAGUAUGUUAUGGUUUCAUUUAUAUGAAUAAAAUGAGGUAUUUUCUCUAGAAAGUUUGGAGUAAGACUACACCAUGUUGAAUGAUAUCUUACACUAGAAGUUGAAUGAUAUGAAUGACUUUGAAACCAUGUUGAAUUAAGAAAAAAAAUACAAAAGAGGCUUAAUCAAGGCUAUAAUACAUGAUGAAUGGAUUCUAAUUCAAUCCAAAAACAAUUUUUACUAAUGUCAAAUAAAUCGAAGAUAUCACAUCAAGUGUUGAAAGAGAGCAAAAUAUUAAGCAGAAAACAGGUGUGGCUAAGGCUGAUGAGGACAUGCCCAUAAUCUUUGGGAUCAAACAGCAGCCCAAACUUUCUCAUGUAUUGCAAAUACAAUUUUACUAAGGCUACUUGAAACACAACAAUCUUGGGAUAAAAGGAUAGUUUAGAGAAACAACCGCCACAAAAAAACUAUUUGUCUAUCCACCAUAAAUGACAUUCAUUGCACAGUAAAGUAUCAGCAAAAUUCUCUACUAGUUGAAGUAGUUCCAGCAGCAUGGAACAAAUGUUACUUGCAAAGCAUGGAAACCCCAAUAUUUGGGUGGUAAAAGCAUGUUUCUGUAGUUUAUGAAACAUCAAGAUGUACAUUACUCGUUCAAGAGGUGUUCCAACUCGUCGAAGUCAUCAACUGCCACUGCAUCGUUGCGGCUACUAAUGCCAGUCUGCGUACAAAAUGUCUCCUUUUGAGCAUCCCAGUCUUUCACGAUAUCAUCUACCAUGUCUCCCACCAGCUUCUUGUCUUCUGUAAUGUGUUUUACAUCCUCCAUAUCCACUGGACCCAUAGCUUCUUUUAUUGGGUAAAAAAGGGCAAGAGAAGAGAUGUCUUUUAGUAAAGGAAAACCACAUGAAGAGGAAAAAAAGAAAUCUUUGCUAAAAUACAUUCGUUAUCAUAAUGAUAGAUGUUUAGCUAUAUUUUAAAGGUGAAAGAUGUUUUCUGUAGUUAAUGUGCCAGAUAAAUUCCAAAGCUUAGUAAGUAAUAUACUAAUAGCAUAGGAUAUUAAGAUAAAUCAUGCUAAUCAAAACAUGCCGAUAUGACAUGGAAAUCAUUUCUAUAUUAGAUAUUUUCCCAAAUUAUGCAAAGGAAAUCAUUCAUCAUCAUGGAAAAUCAAAAUGUUAUCUUCUAGAAGAAAUUAUGUUGUUUCCUCUUAACUUCAAUAAGGAACUGAUGACGGAUACUUUAUACAGCAGAACUUUCAAAGAACAGAAAUUAGGAUGAUCAUUCUGCCAUUAGAGGGCAGCACCUAACAUGAAGUUCUCAUUUGAUGAUUCCUUUAAGAGAUCAAAGCAAAUUAUGACAUUAACAGAUAUCUUUUUUUCACCACUGAUUUCCUCAUUUUAAGAUAUUGCAUCAGAGCAUUCCAACAAAAUUAAUAAAGCUGGCUGAAAAUCGACCAUAGGUAACUGUAUUUGAAGGCCUGAAUUUGGCCUAUUCAACAGUAAUAGAAACAAAUGUCUGUCCAGCUAGGCUUAUGGUUGAAAAAAAAACCAUACUAUAUAUGCAGUUUAUAGCUAGAAUAUAGUUUCUCCAAGGACAAUAGUGAGUACUUGGGUUAUGCAGCAAUCUGCAAAUGAUGCCUUGAUCUUUUUUUUAUCUAGCUAUUAUAAUACAUUGCAAAAAGUGUUCAUUAAAGGGUACCUGAUAUAGCCAAUUCCUUUGCUUCAGCAUAUUCUUUUGACAUUUUCUUGAGUGUGCUUAGUUCCAAUUCCAUUCCCUGAAUAUAAGUGAUAACAAACAAUCAAUGAGAACAGCAAUGAUUAUUGCCAGCAGAACUUCGUUAAAAUAUAAUAGAUAGAUGAACCAUUUCAAAACUUUGCAGUAGCAACAAAAGGUCAUAGAGUACAAGAUCUUAUGGGUCUACCAUUAUUUAAUUCAAAUUACAAGUAAAUAACAGUAUAUUUGUUACUACUGCACCAGGGUUCUGGUUGCCUUUGUUCUUAGAAGAGUUAUCGUGCUAACGAAGCAAAAGAAUUUUACGACAGAUGCAUAGACGGUUAGAUUAAAUGGAUUAAUGCAAGUCAAAAUCCAAGAACAGCACGCUAUUUCAUCAUGGAAAUCAAGAACAAGACACUGUCCUAACAACCAUGUACUACACAUCAGGUAUUAGAAUGCUGUUUGAUGAUUUCUUAGACAUCACUUGCCAUGCUGUUAAAACAUUUCACCAAUCCAUUAACAUGUAAGCUUUAGAGUCUGCACAGGUAACGGCAUGCUGCAUAUGUACUACAGUUAUAAAAAAAAGCCCCAGCACAUACAUUUUAAGUAGGAAAUAAUCAUGUUAUCAAUUGGUUGUUUAUAAAUAAUGAAAAACAAAUUAAAACAAUAUAUGAUUGAGCUCAAUCAGCCACUUAACAGCAAAGGGAGAGUUGGAAUUUUUUCAGGAGCCUUUAAGCCCUGUAUGCAUCAACUAAUGCGUUGUAACUUUCUAGGGGAACAGACCAUCGAGUGAAAGCAUAACAGAUUAAUGGUGCCAUAGCACACGAUGGAAUUUUCAGACGAAAACCAGGAGAGCAUGAUCAAGGUAAGACUAUGAUUCACUGUUCUCAUGAUUCAGAACUGAGUAAAAUAUUUAAAGGAUUUUAGGUCUUGCUUCUUAGAAGGCAAUUUACUGAAAUCACUUUGCAAAAGUAGGAAUGAGCUUCGACCACAAAAUAGAGGCAUGGUCAGCUUGUUCAGGAAUCAGUUUCAAGAGUAAGCAACUAGUUAGCAAAUCUGAUUAUUACUCGAAAGCAAUCUCCCAACAAUAUUGACCUCAAUGAUUAAGUAUCAAGGGACAUGCUCGUAAUGGUCAACGACAGCAGGGCGCAAUCAUGUGGCAAAACAUCAGAUUUGAGAAAGAAAAUGAAAAAGAAAAACCUUGUACCUAUGUCAUAAGUUGACCUAGCAUCACACAAAGAAUGGUCAUCCUUCAUUCUUUGUUCAAAACACCCAUAUGCCACUUGAAUUCCCAUCUUAAAUAGAUAUAUAAAUAUAUAGUUAAAAAACACAGUAUAUAUUCUAGAUAGUGUGCUAGGGAAAAUUACAAAGAAAUACUUAGAUAUAUACCUAAAAUACACUUGCAUUUCUUAGUUACAAAAUGAUACUCCUACCUCCACAGAACUUUGACAAAAAUUAGCCAAACCAUUUAUGGACUAUGAAUUUUAAGAACAAGACAUUUUUGCCCUUUCUUACCAUUUAAGUGACUAAUUAAAAGACAAAAUAGCAAAGGAGCCUAAAAGAAAAGAAUCUGUUUGCAUCCUAAUUCUCCUCGUAGAAUCCUAAGAGAACUCAAUACAUUCACUCAUUCCAUUCAUCUGCUUGUAUAUGCCAGAAGAACUGAUCACAAGCCUCAAUUUGUCCUCAACAGUUUGCAAACCAGCUAAAUUUCAUUUUUAUCAAAAGAGAAAAUAGUGGAAGUGAUAAAGAUGUAAGACUUGCUCAUUGAAUAAUGACUUGCUUUCGGUGAGCGAGAGAGCAUGAUGGUGUUCACCAUGUUUUUCAUAUUUCCAAAUGCAAGGUACAAAAAGGGUGCAGUACUAAUGUGAUAACCAAGUAACCAACUAGUCUAUGCAUGCACUAUUUAUCAACUUAACAUCAAGAUGUAACGGAAAUGACUUACAAGGUCCAUAUGCAGAUAGUCCUCUAUCAGAGUAUUGCCCAAUAAUCUGUAAUAUGGAAAGAGAAAAUAGUAAGUAACAAGCAAUAUAUAAUAUAGCCCAUUAUAUAAGAAUCCACUACAGUGCCAGAAGAUUAAACGCUACAAAAUUGAAAACAUUGCAAACACAGAAAUAGAUACAAAGAGUGUACUACGACCACAUAUCAUAAGCAUAGGGGAUAAGAAAUAUUAUAGAGUUCAGAUAAGUUACUUUUCAUAUGCUAUUUGAAUUCGCUUGUUUUCUAGCUUCAUUAUCUCGUCAACCCUUUGGCUCUCAUAUCCAUCAACUCUAUCAACGAAGCCAAAUAUAAACAUGUUCUUAUCUAGCAUUUUUUUGACAAGAGCAGGAACAAUAGCAAUACCAAUCUUUUUUGCAUCAAUAACAAGAAUCUUCAGCCUCUUUAACUCACCUGUUGCAGAAGACAUAAACAAAUGAGUGAAAAAAAGAAAUAAAAUAAUAAUGUUUCUUGCUACCCAUGAACUAUUUCACUCUGCAAACCUAAAAAAGAACCUUUUUCUUCUGCAAAGGCAGUUUAUAUUUAUUAUUCAAUACACAGACCAAUGUUAAAGACAAGUUUGCCAAACACCCAAAGCAAAAUCAAAGACUACUGAACAAAGAAGGGCAGCAGUAGGAGUUUGGAGUUCAUCAACUUCAGAUUACUCUAAAGAUCUAAAGCAAGAUAGAAGAGACCAAUUUUAGACAAACUCCUAAACAAGUCAAAAGUGUGAGAAAAAGGGGUACAAUGCAUAUUUCACCAUCAAACCUGAAUGGCAUAUCUAUGGUACUCAGUGUCUAGUCAUGGCCAGAUGCACUUUUUCGUUUCAUAGUUCACUAAUGAGGACAGAAGAGCAAAUAUGUAAGGAAAAAUGCAGAUAAACAAGAAAGAAUUUAACAGUGACAAAAAUUACCACAGACCUAUGUUUCUGAUAUCUAAGGUAAUUAAAAUGACUUUAAGAAUUAAAUAUCACCGGCACAUACAAAGAGAUAAAUAAAUUUUGAAAGCAGGUUUAUAUGGUUGAGUCUCAUAGAGGCAGUAAAGGCAAUAGAAGCCACCCAAUCUCGUUGACAGUGCACCUGUAGAAACCAUAUGGCCUGCAUAAAGUAGUCAUUCAUCACUGAUUCUCUCUAAUUGUAAAAUCAAGCAUAUAAAAACUAAAAAGGGAAUUAUGGUGAUUAGACAUACUAAUAGAAUACGAAUAAAGAGACUGCAUAAAUAUGGCCUCGUUAGAGAUAGGUUUAGCCUCAUAAAUAUAAGAGAAUUUCUUAGCCAUCCACAUCUUCUUCAUGUCUGCCAAUGUGGUAUGGUUACCCUGCCAGUUCAAGGAACAAUAUGUAAGUUCUCUAUAAACUAAAACAUGCACUUUAGCUUGAAGAAGAUAAGCGAAAAAUCAUACAAAAUUUGAGAAAAAGAAACUACCUCAUUGAACUCAUCCACAAGCUCAUCAAUAUCCAACUUGAAAGGUCUGAGGUCCAUAUCAAUAUCAUCAAGAUUCAUGCAUCCAUGUGUCGAUGAUUAUUUGUGCCUGCUGCAUAUGCAACAACUGCUUGGAGUAACGGCCAGUUAAUGCACAUAGAUUUAUAAAUUUUGUAAUUUAAAACCAAUUUUCCAUGCAUAAUUUUCUAAAUUUAAAGUUUGAAGUAAGUUGUUGCAGACAAAUAAAUAAGAAUAUUGGGAUUCGAGACUGAUUAAUGAAAAAAAGGUGGACUUGAAGAGGGAUUAGAGUUAGUACAAAACCCACCUUUGGUCGGAUGAAGAAUUAUGAAGGCACUAGACUUCCAUGAUAAGGAAGGAGUCCAAAUGAAAUUGUCGGCAAAGCUCGUCGGUUUGGGGUUGGAAAAAGGAUCAAAAUUGGUCAAUUUUGAUACAAUCAAAAUCAGGUUUGGCCAAGGUUGACAAGGCAAGGUCAGGCUGAGAAAAUUAUUCUAGAAUCCAAAAAACAUUAUGAAAACCACAAAGGUAAACGAAUGAAAGAUAAAAAAAUAGAGCAUACAUAUUAACUAAAGAAGGGAGAAAUCAUUUAUAGUGUACUUGUAACAUCGUUCAUUUCAACUCUAAGUAAUUGGUACCAUCAAACAUGGGGCAACAUAUAAUACCAAGCAACACAUGUUAGAUAGUAAAAUAUCAUUCACCAGUAGAAAAUAAAUAAACAAACAACUUCCUUAUUGCACAUGAGAUAGAAUCAAAUUAUAUAAACCUUCCAGUGUAAAUAGUGAAAAAUAAUAUAAAUAAUCAAGCAAUCAAUGGAGUACCUACUGUAGAAAGACUCAUUGCCACAUACUGUUACAUGGUAGAUGGACAAUAUAUUAUGCUCGUCAUCAUCCUCAGUACAUGUUUCAAAUUAAAUAAGUCGAUUAGUUUUAUUAAUCUACAGAAUGUAAUUAAAUAAAUUUAGUAUACUAUCUUAUACACAUUAAAAUAGAGACACUAACUACCAAAAAAUUAUUUUCUAAAGAAGAAAAUAUAUUUAAUUACAUAGACCACAUCCCACUGUGCGGUGUAAUUGUACAUGUGACUAGAAGAUCCAUCAAAGAUUGACACAAUUUUUUGGGAAGUGCCAACUGAUAUAAAAUCAACUGCAACGUUCUGAAAAGCAAACCAGAUUAUGAACCAACAAAAGGAAAAACCAAUGAUUUCAAGGUUCAAAUGGGAUGAAACCGUGAUGCUGCCAUAAAGUGUCAUAUAACUAAAAACUUAGCAAUUAAAAGAAUAAACACAGAGAUUUUUCAGAGAAUGAAAGCUCCAAAAGGCAUGGGUAUAUUUGGAGCGGGGAGACAAAGGUUAUAUCAUCUGCACCACUCCUUGCAAUUAAUUUGUAAACCAUUUGUGUUUAACAGUUCAAGCAAAAGUAUCUUAGCAAUUUAGUUGGACACAAUGUGCGAAAACAUAUCAAACUGUGACAUACUAUCAAAGGUGUGGAUCUAGAGCGGUAGAGGCAAUUACCUCAGGGCGUCGCUGCACUGCGCAAGGGAUCAGAAAAGAAAAUGUUUUCCUUAGGUUCGAGUUGAGCACCAGGCCAAGCUCGCCGACGAUGUCCAGGAUCGCCUCGAUCUCGUCGGUUGCCUCACCGCUUAUAUCAGGCGGAAGAGAGCGAGAAGGGUUAGGGUUUGACACUUGGGAAGUCUGAUCAGUUUGGUCCAUCCGCAAAAGCCAAUUGAAGGCGAACCGAUUUGGGCAUGAUCAAGCGGACAAAACACAAACCUAUACGGAGUCAAUUUAGUCUCCCGUUGGGCCUAUUCACUAGGACCACCGCGAGUCUGCCGCCGCGUGGAGCGGUUGCCCGCAGCCUUCACAGCGGGAGGCCAAGUGGCGCUUCCCCUCGUCGGAAUCACGGGAUCGCAGACAAGGACGACGCAGCAAGUAAUCGCGGGAACCGAGGAAAAAGAAGCACCAGUUGUUGCAUACAGAUCAUUAAAAAUGCAUCUUUAUUUUUUUAUAUGAUAAAAAAACAAUAUCUACCAUUGCAAAAUAUCUCAUACUUCCAUAAGUUGAAUUCCUGUAUGAGCCUGCAAAACUAUUUAUAAUAGACAAAUAAUUGUGGCAUUGCCUUCAUGGCAAAUAUCUUUACAAUAAAAAUAUUUUUAAUAAAAUAACAAAUUUAACUGGUGUAUACUUUAUCAUAUAAAGUCCUAACAUCAAAAAACACCAAUCUUUACCCAAAGCAAGGAAAUCAGAUAUAUCUUUAGAAUAAAACCAUACUCUAUGACAAUGAAUGAGGGUAAAGAAGCAUCUUUUGUUGCAAAAGAUGCAUUGAACAAAAUAGAACAAAGAACACAUUUUUUUUUUCCUCUUUCAAUGAUUAAAUAUCUUUUUCCGCAAAUAUCAAGUAAAAAAGUUAUUCCUUUUCCAACAGACACAACCUGAUUUCAAUUUUGCUGCUUCCUUACAAUUUGGUAAUGUGAUCGGCAAAGACGAGAAUAAUGCAUAUCAAGAUCACAACACGAUUCGGCAUUCGGAAUGAGGAGGAGGAUUUAGUUCGAUCGCCGAAUAAAUUCUCAGAGAAGCGGAGAGAUUCAUAAUCAUGCCGCUAUCACAUUGAAAAAAAUUCUCUUUCCACCAAGUAAAAGAAGCAAAGGGGGAAAUAAUGUAGGAAAAAAAAAAACGGAGAAAGAGACUGAGUUGGGUUUCUCUCGGACAAAUGCCUCGAUUCGUCCUCAUGCUGAGUGGAAUGGAUAAUAUCGGACUCGUCAUCUAUGUUUACAUGUCAUCACCGGGAAACCCAACAAAUCGACAUCUCUUACCACUCCACGACAAAUCAAGAAACACGUAACAAGAUUGCGAGAGAAAGAGAGAGGAAAGAUUCGAACUCACGGAUGAAAAGCCGGAGAUUACGACAAAGGUCGAGUCUUUGCUCGCCGACCGAGAGCGUCACCAAUGGAAGAUAUAAAUAGGGUCAGCAGCCGAAGAACCAGGGUUUCGCUUCUCACCGAAAUUACCUUUUUGUCUUCCAUAUUUGUUAUAAUACGGCACAUAUAAAAACGGCGUGCUAUAAUAUUAUAUAUAAUUUAGAUAUUAUAUAUUACAAAGUAUAUGUUAAUUAUUAUUAGUUGAAUAUUUAUAAACUAAUUCAAAGAACCUUUUGCUUCAAAUGUGAGAUCAAACUUUUGCGCUUCAGUUUAUAGUGUUCAAUAAUAAUUCAAAAGUCAAGGUUAUUUUGUUAGUAGAAUCAUUAUGUUUGAUCUAAAAUUCUUACAUAGAACUAAACUAUAAGAUUGCUACAAUCUUGCAGACAAUAAGGUAAAAUUCUUAUUUUGUAGGAAAAAAGGAUCAGCUCGAUUAGGAGGCUGCGAUGAGAGUCGGCGCCACCGCUUCGGGAUGCUGCUCCGUCAUCAGGGUGUCGAUGGAGGAGGAAGGACGAAAUCGUCGGAGGGAAUGUCGCGGUUUUUACUGCUCGAGGGAGAACCCGAACCGGUUCCUUAUUUAAACCCACGCUUUGAGAUCGGUAAAAGGACAGGUGGCCACCUACGGCUGGUUUCCUGUGUGAUUUUUGUAAGGAGGGGCUCGGUUUGGUGAGGGAAGGGGAGCCGAAGGGUUUCGGAGGAGUCGUGGGGGGUUUCUUUGCCGCUUCUGCCGCCGGAGCUUCCUCUGUGGUCGUGGACGCCCGCCGCCGUCGGGUUCGACAUGAGGACCAACGCGGUUUUCAGUCCACGCCCGUCUUCUACCGUCUUUCUCCACCAUGCGCCUCCUCGAUGCUCCACAGAUUGUUCUUUUCGAAACCUUAUACCCAUUAGGUUUCAUCCUCUGUCUCCGUGCCCUUUCGAUUUCUUGUUCAGUUCCUCAUAACGAUCUGUUGAUUUGCUAAAGAUAUGUGAUUUUUUUGGUGGACGUGAAUAAUGCAGCCAAGCUACUGCCCCACGUCGACAAGACGGCAAGAUUGGGGGAUGCUCCUCUCCUGGUCGGCGGAGGUGCGUGGUCUUUGGUCGUCUUCAUUGUUCUAUGAUCGUCUGACUUGUUCACUUAAUUCUGAUUAAAUGACUCGGAACCACCAAAAUCUGAAACCUUUCUGAUGGUGACCGUCUUAUCCAUGUUUAUAGUAUCUACGUGCGUUAAGUACAUUUGAUGUUAGUUUUUAUAGUCGAUGAUUAUUGAGAUGUGCCAUAAGAAUGAACGAAGAUUUUAAGUAAACAGUGUUAGCAUACCUGAAAGCACACGGAUGGUAGCAAAAAUGUUACGAGUCUUGAGAGGAGAAGCUACCAGUUGAUGUCAAACGGUAGGAUCAAUCUUAUCACCUUCAUGCGUGAAUCAGGCACCGUGUGCUUUUAUGUUUAUAACCUUUGGGUUAGAGAUAUGAGAUACUUAAUUAUGAUGAUAAAAGACGGCCAACUUGGAUUUAUUUCAUAUGAAUCUAAUAUUGUACAUGGAUCUCAAGUAGACAAUAGACCACACUUCAGAAUUUCCUUCGUAAUUAAUGUAUGACGGAAAUCUAGAAGAAGGAUUACCUAUCCUAACAUGAUGGGACAAGGAUAUUAUAUACAUAUUGUGCAAAACAAAUGAUUUCAUAAAUGAUCAUGGCGAUGCCUUAUCCAAGGGCUUGUAAAUGGUUUAUAAACCAGAUAGACAAGAAAUAUAUCACAACCAUGCAAAAAGUUACUCCAAAGCCAAGGUUUAGAUUGUUGGAUUCAGGAUUGAUCAAAUUAGGGUCCUUGAGGGAUCAGCAUUUCUACUGAGAAGACAAAUUUGGAGUUCAAUGGAGCCGUAUUCUUUUAUCCCUGUUUCUUUUAUGUCUGCUUAAUUUUUCAUCUAGUUAACUCUUUGAAUCUUGUUCUUUUGUCUUUGUUGUGCUUCUCCCAAUCCUUAGCCUUUCUUUCCAUCUGCUCAUGGAUUUUAGACAGAUCUUUUCCUUUUUGGUGUUGAUGCUAGCUAAUUCUGAAGCCCUCGAGAAAUAUGACAUCAAAAAAUUGCUGGUUCAUCUGAAUUUUGACAAAUAUCUGUCAAUCUCAAUUGAUUUGAUCCAAUCCAAGUCAUUGCAGGCUAUUGCUAAUCAGUGUCAGCCAACAUUAUCUACUUGAUUUUGCUCAAUGUUCAUAUGUAUUUCUAGUGAUGAUUUUGGUACCAAAUUAGUAAUUCCUUAAUUCUUCAGCAUGAUAUUUAAUGUUUGUAAUAGCAGUUUUAUAGUGUGCCAUAAUAUCCAUAGAUCUGAUCAGACACCAUAUUGUCACCUUGAAUCAGCGUCAGAACAGAAACGGAGUUGGUUUUUGAGAGAUGGUUGGUGCGCGAAUGACAAAAAGAAAAAAAGAAACUUUUUUUUUUUUCACAUUUGGUUGCUGGUGGGCCUUUUACUUCUUUGAAGUCAUUACUGUAUAAUGCAAAGCACAAAACAUUAUAAUACACAAUCAUUUAUUGAUAUGUCAUAUAGUUGUGGCCCUCUUUUCUUCAUGCCUUUUGACUUUAUUCGAAUCAGUGAUCUGUCUUUGUUUUUAUUGUAUUCUUGAUAUGAAACAAUUUUUUUUUAAUAUUGAUAUAUGGCUUGUUGCUAUGCACCCUUUAUAGUUGCAAUUGUGGAAAUUUGUUCAUGUGUGUGCUUCUUGUUAUUUCAGGGUUGUUUCUGAGAGGAUACGAAAGGGUAGAUACAAGAACCAAAUCUUUGCUUCCGUAGCAGGUAUCUCUAGUUCUAUGAUUUACCGUAAACUAGUACUAUUGAUAUUUGAGGAAGGUCAUGUCUUCUUAUCUAAACUUAACUAGUACAACCAGUCACUUUAUAACAAUUUUUGUGGGUUUUUUCUUGUAGCAUUGUUGCAGCAAAUCUUUCUAAAAUUUUGUUCAUAGUUUCAUUUAACUGUCAAGGAACCUACCUCUUCUUUUUUGAAUCUCUUUUACAUUCCAAUGGUUGCAACUGUUGUGGUCUCUUUUAUUCUACCUUCUCUGAUUUCUGUUCCUUUAUAUCUCUAACUUGUGAGCUUGAUAAAUUUACUAAUUGUUAAUGCAAAUUUUCCUUGCAUUUCAGCUUUUGUCUUGCUCGAAUUUUUGCAUGAAAUGGUUGUCUGUAGACAACUAGUGCCUUAUCACUGUCAUGUUGUGUUGUAAAGCAUUUCAGAAUUUUGUUUUAAGAAAUAGUUUUUAACAUCAAUGGCUUGUACCUUGUAUUAGUCACAUGUUGAUAAUAGAUUGCGUCAUUUCUUUUCUUCACACAGAUGUCUCUCUUGAGCAGUCCAUAGUUGAUUCUCCUAUUCCAAGAGGUGACAUGUGGUCUGUUCAUAAAUUUGGUGGGACAUGUAUGGGAACCUCCAAAAGAAUUCAGAGUGUUGCUGACAUUAUCCUGAGUGAUUCUUCUGAAAGAAAGUUAGUAGUUGUUUCUGCAAUGUCAAAGGUGACAGACACGAUGUACGAUCUGGUAAACAAGGCUUCAUCAAGGGAUGACUCUUAUAUAACAGCAAUUGACAAUGUUUUUGAGAAGCACAUGUUAACAGCAAAGGAACUUCUUGAUGGAGAGGAUCUAGCCAGAUUCUUAUCUCAAUUGUAUAAUGACAUCAGUAACCUGAAAGCAAUGCUUCGUGCCAUUUAUAUAGGUCUCAAGUUACUUCAACUGUUCUUCUUUUCCAUUUAAUUUUUUUAGCUACCGAGCCAAUUGGAAAUUGCUGGAUUAACUGCUAGAUAAUUUGCCAUCACCAAUUUUACAUCUCUGCUUGUUGAUUUUCUGCAGAAUAUUUAGAAGUUUGUUAUAUUAUCAUUGUUAUUAUUGUUAGAAGCUUAUGUAACUUAUGGCAGGCUCACUCAUUUUAAGCAUAUACAUAACAAGCCUGUGUUCAUUGAUUAGUUUUUGGCACAUUCAAUCCAGAAAUUGCUAAAUGGCUGCUGGAAAUGGGGCCACUCUUGGCAAAGCCAACAUUAAAUUGCUUGUGAAGUGUCUAUAUUAUGCUUUGCUUUUGGUUCUAUUUAGAAAACCAUGUAGUUGAUACUGAUAAUACAAAUAGAAGUAUUAUUGUUGUUCGUGGUUAUGAAUUAUGUCUUGCUUUACCUGUUUGGCGAGUAAAUUGUGAAUACUAACCCAUCAUGGGAAGUCAAUGGUAUCAUGAACUGUUAAUAUGAUGCAGUGUCGAUAUGAUUAAUUAAUAAUUCAUAUGAGGUUUGGGCAUCAUCAUUUGUAUUAAUAGUAGCUGAAGUGACUUUAGUGCAGCUAGUCCUAAUUCAACAUUGCUAUGAGUUUGUGUUCCCCUAUUCAGUUCAAUUUCUAAUUGUCCAUCUGAGUCAACUUUGUAGAAAGAAAGACAUUUGAUUUACUUGGAUGCUCAAUUAAAUCAGGUGUCAAACUAUCAGCAGGUUCUUCUUAUAUGGUAAAUCCUAAUGAAACUAAGACUGCUCAAAAUUAGGUGUCCAGCUCAUAAUAACUAUCUAUUUUGAUGUUCUUUUAUUGCAGACUAGCAACCCACAUAGCAUCAAAGUCAAGGGUAGAAAUUCAUUCGUGGAAUUAUAUUUGGCUGAAGAAAACAAAGAUAUCUAUGAAAUGUUUUCACUAAGAAACAUUAAUUUUUUUUGGCUAAAGUCUUCCUCUCUGGCUUUGUUUAUUCAUCCUUGAGGUAUCAUUAUAGCAGCAUUUUGUAAACUACCAUCUACUAAUUAGUUUAAGGUCCCACAAUUGUUUUGGUUGUGACUGCUAGGUAGUGAGGUUACUAUCCACGCCUCUUUGACAUGGGCUUUGGAAGGGCAUGGCUUAAAAGUUUAUCAUUGGUAUAUCUCAUACCUAGCUACUAUCUGUUGCACACAACAUUCAUAGAUGUCUUGUAUGUAACAGAGACACAAAUCACAUUUCAUUUGUGAAUUUGUAAUCUUGAAUAAUGUUUUAUAGCUUAUGACUCCUGCAAGUGUCACAUAUAGGAACAUAUUAAAGUUAUUUUUCUGGUUUAUCCUUGUGGAUUUUGAAUAAUCUUCUUGACAGAAGAAUGUGGCCACAUGUAGAGUAACACAUCUUGAAAUUUUUCUGAAAAGCAGGUUUAUGAUUUACACUGGGAACUUAGUUAGAAAUAAACAGAAAUCAUGCAUUUAUUCAUGGAGUAGAUUUUUCUUGUUUGACAGUUUGAGGAGUUCUACUUGUUUAUUUUACAUUUUUUUCCUUCUCCUGUUGAAGCUAUUGUUUCUAAAUAUGUGCUUCUUAAGCUGCAGUUAUGUUGUAAGCUUAUCAAUCUGUUCUUUUCUGGUUUCUUUCUAAUGCUGAUUUUCCUUGAUGCAUUAAUUUUAACAUCCAUAUUAUAUUUUGCAGCUGGUCAUGCAACAGAAUCUUUCUCAGACUUUGUUGUCGGUCAUGGAGAGUUAUGGUCUGCUCAAAUGUUGUCAUAUACAAUAAAAAAGGUUGUUUUUAUGCAUGACACUUAUCUCUGUUAAAUACAAUAAUCUUAGUAUAACUGUUUUGGACUGUAUCUUCUAUGCAGCAUGGAAAGCCUUGCUGUUGGAUGGACACAAGAGAUGUCCUUAUUGUAAAUCCUACCAGUUCCAAUCAAGUUGAUCCUGAUUAUACUGAAUCAGAGAGAAGACUUGGGAAGUGGUUUGUUCAGCAGUCUGCUGAUAUAAUCAUUGCUACUGGGUUCAUUGCAAGUACACCUCAAAAUAUUCCCACUACUUUGAAGAGAGAUGGAAGUGACUUUUCAGCUGCCAUACUAGGUGCUCUUGUUAGAGCUCGGCAAGUCACCAUCUGGACUGAUGUUGAUGGUGUAUACAGUGCAGAUCCAAGAAAAGGUUUGACACUUUCCUCGAUUAAACAUGCAUAGGUUCUCAUAACAUGCACAUGCUUUUUAAUCCAUAUAAAGUAUGGCUUCUUUAGUACUUUUGCAAUGUGCAUGUUGUAUCUGUGUUGGAUACUAAAUACCUCCUGCUUCACUUUUACUUUGGAACAUAUAUUUUGCAAUAUUUAUGCUACUGUUUGGUAUGUAUAUAUGGGAAGUGUGCAUCAUCUUUGUGAGUAUAUUGAAUGUUCAAUUCCGGUAACAUAUAUACAUUUUAAAGUUUAAACAUUUCACUUGCUAUGAAGGUGAGUGAUGUCUUUAAUGGUUUCUACAUGCAUUUGAAGUGUUUUGUCAAUGGCGAUUAUUUAUGAAAAUGCUUGUUAUGCUUGUAUAACAUGCUAUCAAUGUUUUUACUUGUUUCAUACUUAAAUCGAUGUUAAACUCAAAUAAUGGAGACAUGUUAGAAAGGGUUUUUAACUGAUACCAAUAGAAUAAUGAAGGUGUAGUUAAAAAUGGAUGGACAAAAAGUUAGGUAGAGCAUAUGUUUUAGAUGCCAUGGAUCUAUUAACAAAGAUUUUUUUCAUGUAAUUGUACGAUACCCCUUGAAUAUAUAUACAUAUACAUGUAUACAUAUAUCUAUGUAUAUGUAUAUAUAUAUAUUUAAAUAUAUACAUAUGUAUAUAUACAUAUAUAUGUGUAUUUAUAUAUACAUAUGUUUAUCUAUAUGUAUAUAUACAUAUAUAUACAUAUAUAUACAUAUAUGUAUAUAUAUGUAUAUAUAUGUAUAUAUAUGUAUAUAUAAAUACACAUAUAUAUGUAUAUAUACAUAUGUAUAUAUUUAAAUAAGCAUGUACUUUGGAAAACAAAAGCAUAUAGGAACGCAAGUGUCAUAUUUUACAUUUCAUUCAUAUCCAAAGAGCAUAUAGGCAUGUAUUUUGGAAAAACAUGUCAAAUGAACAUAAAGGAUGACAUGGGAUAUUGCACUAGAUAUUUGGAUAAUAAAUUAUGCUUCAAUUUAUUCAAGCAAGAUAUUUUUUGAAAGAUAUACAAGCCUACUUUCAGAUGAAACGAGUUUUGUAUAAAUUGGAGUUGUUUAUAGAGAGUUACAAGUGAUCUAGUAUAGAGAGGUGAGAACAUAUUGUCUCUGUUUAGCAGAAUUAAAAGGAUCAACUAAAAUUAACAUUUGGGUCAACAUUUGCAUUCCAAAUCAUUCAAAUAAGGUACUGAAAGAAAGAGAUAAGAGUCUAGUUUCCAAAGAAUUAAGUUUUGUUCAAAUCAAAAUUCUACACAAAACGGUACAGUUAAAACAAGACAGAUAGGUCAGAAUUAUCAUUGAUUCCAGACUAACAAAUUUGCAGCUCAAAUUAAGGUUGAUGCAAAUUAGAAAGGGCAUAACUCUACAAAUUACUCAUAAACAAGAAGAAAUCAAAGAAAAAAAUCACUGUAGGAUGAGCUAGAACACUUGUUUUAGAAAAAGUUAAUCCCCAGGGUGAUGAAAUGGUCCAAAUCCUUAAGCCAAAGCAACACUUCUCUUUCAAUUCUUCUCUUCUCUUCUCUAGUCCAAGAUAGGUUGCAGUAAGAUUCUCAUUUAGUAAAUUUUAUCACUUUUCUUUCUU